ensembl:lncRNA
GCUCAGCCACAGAAGCGAGAGCAGCUGCAUGCUAAGCGGAAGAGAAAACUAGGAGAAAACUUCGGAGUUUACCUGUGAAAAGGAAAAAAACAGUUGGAGCACUUACCCACUGGAGGUCCGGAGCCAAGUGACUGAACGAAGGAGAGAGUUACGUCGGCUAACCACUUGCCUUUCACCCAGAGAGCUGCGGCAAGGCGUGUUCCGCCUUGAUAUACAGAGAGCAACGGUCAGGUUUUUUUGGAGGACUGAAGAGUCUGAGGUUCAGGACAAACUUCCUGCUGUAACAGAUGGCGAGCCAACCACCCUGAAGAAAGAUCAGCACCGAGAAGAUAUCCACGUACCCACUCAUUCACACACACAUUAUACAUUUACAUUACACUACAAAGACCUUUGGAAUCAGGUGAACUUGCAAUAAUCCUACAACAGGAAAACCUGCAACAACUCCUAUUUUACUUAAGGGCCCCAACGGACAUUUUUUUGUUUCAAGUGUGCACACUGGGUUUUUCUUAUUGUCUUACUGUUUGGGUUAUUAUUUUGCAUUCUGUACAAAUCAGACAAAUUGUUUUAUCCACUGUUAAAAAUUAUACGAGUGGCUACUCAACUAUUACCAAUGCGAUUGCCUCAUUAUUGUUGCACAGUACAGUGACUCCUCCCGAAUUUAGUGUCUUCUGAUGCUGGUCCAGGUAUUAUAAAUAGUCCAAGUAAUUAUUACACUGUAAUUCACUUUUAUAUCCCUAAAGUUGGUUACAAUACCUUCCAACUUCUUCAUCCUGAAGUCUCUUGAUGAGGGCGUCUGCGACAGGGGUUUCAGAAUCCACCUCCAACAAAGCUUCCUGAUGCUGGAGGAGAAGACGAGUAGCUUUGUACCUUUGCGAGUGAAAGUAGCAGUUCCUCCUGAAGGUCAGCGAUUGCAGCAUCUGAGGGCCUCUUCAAAAGAAGACGUAGUUGAUGAAGGCGUUCUGGAGCAGGACCAGAAAGACCACGACCAAGCAGCCUUGAGAUCUUAGACAGCGUCUCCCUCAGGUCCCUCUCUAUCUCCCCACACAUCCACCAACCACUGGAACACAUCUCCAAAGUUCUGCCAGACCACCUGCCAGAUGAAGGAGCCUUUUGAGAGGCAGCUGGCAUCGUGAUUGGACUGUACUUUGGUCUGUUCCAAUCCAGCUUCAGCUCCAGAGACGGCAGGCGGGACGAGUCAACGGAGGCCGGGUGGACGAAGGCAUGCAGCUGAGUACAAUCCAGAAAACAACAGAGGAGGAGUGCAGCGUCCCAGGGCCAGAACAAACAGAGUAGCAUCGUAUGUCUCUUAGAAAACAUCAUAGUAUAGCCUUUGGAUGAAAAAACGCCAUCAUAUACAUCGUAUAUUGUACAAAUAACAAGUCAAAGGAAAGAGACAUACAUUGUAGAAUUGUAGUAAUUGUGGACUGACUGAUUUACUGAUUAUCAGUAUUUUAUUUUUUACUGAUUUACAGAAAUAAAUACAUUUAAAAAUGGCCC